GAAAUGCGAUAAGUAAUGUGAAUUGCAGAAUUCAGUGAAUCAUCGAAUCUUUGAACGCACCUUGCGCUCCUUGGUAUUCCUUGGAGCAUGCCUGUUUGAGUAUCAUGAAAUCUCAAAGUAAAUCUUUUGUUAACUCAAUUGGUUUCUACUUUGGUAUUGGAGGUCUUUGCAGCUUCACACCUGCUCCUCUUUGUUCAUUAGCUGGAUCUCAGUGUUAUGCUUGGUUCCACUCGGCGUGAUAAGUUAUCUAUCGCUGAGGACACUGUAAAAGGUGGCCAAGGUAAAUGCAGAUGAACCGCUUCUAAUAGUCCAUUGACUUGGACAAUACUUUUAUGAUCUGAUCUCAAAUCAGGUAGGACUACCCGCUGAACUUAAGC
rnacentral:misc_RNA from 1 species